AUGGAUUGGUGUGCAGAUGUUUUGACAGUAGAAGCUUUGGCUCUAAGACUUGGCUUAUCACUUGCACAGAAGGCGGGAUGCAAUCAUCUUUUUGUUAACUCCAACAAUAUGGAAGUGAUUGACAUAAUGAAGAAUGGAGGACAUUCAGCGGGAGGGGUGGCUGCAGUCUUCAAUGAUUAUUAUUUUAUGGUGUGUGACUUUUACCUUAUUAUAUUUGAACAUUGUAACAGGGAAUCAAAUAAGGUUGCUCAUGAAAUUGCUAGGCUAGCUAAAUUUUCUCUGACUAGUGAUUGGUUUGAGGAACCUAUGAAUGAUAUUGUAUCUUUUAUUAUAGACGAUGUAACUGUUAUUUCCAAUAAAUAA
rnacentral:rRNA from 1 species